rnacentral:rRNA from 1 species
GCAAGUCGAACGGAAAGGCCCUGCUUUUGUGGGGUGCUCGACUGGCGAACGGGUGAGUAACACGUGAGUAACCUGCCCUUGACUUUGGGAUAACUUCAUGCCACUGGAGCUCAUACCGCCUAGGAGCUCCUGCCGCAUGGUGGGGGUUGGAAAGUUUCGGCGGUUGGGGAUGGGCUCGCGGCUGAUCAGCUUGUUGGUGGGGUAGUGGCUUACCAAGGCGUUGACGGGUAGCCGGCCUGAGAGGGUGACC